AUCUUAUCGAGAGUGGCGGAGCGACUGGCCCGAAGAAGCCACAGCAACCGGUCUCGCCCGAGGCGGGAUGCUGGUGCUAACUCCAGCGAGGUAGGAAUACCUUGGAAGAUAAGGU
rnacentral:ncRNA from 2 species